UACGGAGGGGGUUAGCGUUGUUCGGAAUGACUGGGCGUAAAGCGCGCGUAGGCGGAUCGGUAAGUCGGGGGUGAAAUCCCGGGGCUCAACCCCGGAAUGGCCUUCGAAACUCCCGGUCUUGAGUUCGAGAGAGGUGAGUGGAAUUCCGAGUGUAGAGGUGAAAUUCGUAGAGAUGCGGAGGAACACCGAUGGCGAAGGCAGCCCCCUGGGCUAGCACUGACGCUCAGGCACGAAAGCGUGGGGAGCAAACAGG
rnacentral:rRNA from 1 species